UACGUAGGUGGCAAGCGUUGUCCGGAAUUAUUGGGCGUAAAGCGCGCGCAGGCGGUCCGGUAAGUCUGCUGUGAAAGCCCACGGCUCAACCGUGGAGGGUCAUUGGAAACUGGAGGACUUGAGGACAGAAGAGGAAAGUGGAAUUCCACGUGUAGCGGUGAAAUGCGUAAAGAUGUGGAGGAACACCAGUGGCGAAGGGGACUUUCUGGUCUGUAACUGACGCUGAGGCGCGAAAGCGUGGGGAGCAAACAGG
rnacentral:misc_RNA from 1 species